GGGUAGGUGGUCUAGUCUGGCAAGGAUUCCGGUUUCGGGAGCCGGUGAUCGAGGGUUCGAAUCCCUUCCUACCCA
rnacentral:tRNA from 1 species